rnacentral:rRNA from 1 species
CAAAGCACGUAAGGGCGUAUGGUGGAUGGCUUGGCAGUAUGGAGCCGAUGAAGGACGCAGCAGCCUGCGAUAAGCUUCGGGGAGGUGGCAAGCAACCUAUAAUCCGGAGAUGUCCGAAUGGGGAAACCCAAUUCCAGUCAUGUGGAAUUAUCUUGCGCUGAAUAUAUAGGCGUAUAGAUGGGAACCUAGGGAAGUGAAACAUCUCAGUACCUAGAGGAAAAGAAAAAAGACAGCUGACCUCAUAUCUUUCUCCAAGACUUUUUUGGAGUGAGAUAUGUUGUCAGCAACAUUCCGUUAGUAGUGGCGAACGAAAGCGGAUCAGCCUAAACCUUUUUAUACUAACUUAUGCACCGAGUUGAGCUUUUGUUUAACCGCGGGCAUGAGCGACGAGCUUGAGCUGUCGUAUAAAUUGGUGUUGCGGACGGAGCGUCGUGUACUCAAGAGCACGGAUGCGUGAUUUUAACUUGGUAGCUGAAUUCGCUGGAAAGCGAGUCCAAAGAAGGUGAUAGACCUGUAGGCGAAAUCAUCGUUAAAACGCAUUGUUCCAGAUCCAAAGUACUGUGGGACUCGAGAAAUCCCGCAGGAAGCAGCCAUGACGAUGUGGCAAGGCUAAAUACUCCUACUGACCGAUAGUGAACCAGUACCGUGAGGGAACGCUGAAAAGCAGCCCGGGAGGGCGAUGAAAUAGUAUCUGAAACCAUACGCUUACAAGGAGUCGGAGCCCGUAUCUCACUAGCGUUCGAUACUCCAAUUACCAAUGACCAAUUAUCAAUUACCAAUGAAAGAAUCGCUUCGCGAUAUUAAUUCUAUAAUUAAUGCCGUAGGCGACCAACAUUGUUAAUUGUUAAUCGUUAAUUGGUAAUUGAACGAGUAGCGAGCGAUAGCGAGAUACGAGUGACGGCGUGCCUAUUGAAGAAUGAGCCAACGAGUGUGCUAUAUGUCGCUUGGUUAAGUCCGUGCGCGGACGCAGCCUUAGUGAAAGCGAGCCUGAAUAGGGCGUUUUGUGGCAUAUACACGACCCGAAACCCGGUGAUCUAACCAUGACCAGGAUGAACCCCGCAGAAAUGCGGGAGGAGGUCCGAACCCACGAGCCGUGCAACACUCGGGGAUGAGUUGUGGCUAGCGGAGAAAUUCCAAUCGAACUGGGUGAUAGCUGGUUCUCCCUGAAAUAGCUUUAGGGCUAGCGUCAGUUAAUAGCAUAAUGGGGGUAGAGCACUGAAUGGGGGCGGGGGCGCAAGCCUACCUCUCCCAACCAAACUCCGAAUACCAUUAUGUGUUCCUGGCAGUCAGACUAUGGGGGCUAAGCUCCAUUGGUCAAGAGGGAAACAGCCCAGAUCGCAGAUUAAGGUCCCUAAAUUCGUACUAAGUGUGAAAAGUGGUAGGAAGACUUAUACAACCAGGAGGUUGGCUUAGAAGCAGCCAUCCUUUAAAGAAAGCGUAAUAGCUCACUGGUCAAGUUUUCCUGCGCUGAAAACUUAUCGGGGCUCAAGUACGAUACCGACGUCGCGAGUCAUCCGUGCUUCACUAAUGUUCAGCACUUCAAUUACCAAUGACCAAUUAUCAAUUACCAAUGAAUGAAUCGCUUCGCGAUAUUAAUUAUAUAAUUAAUGCCGAAGGCGACAGUCAUUGUUAAUUGUUAAUCGUUAAUUGGUAAUUGAGAAAGUGGUGAGCGAUAGCGAAGCACGGGGGGCGGUAAGGGAGCAUUUGCAGCAGCGUUGAAGCGGGAGCGCGAGCCACCGUGGAGCGCUGCGAAGAGAGAAUGUUGGCAUAAGUAGCAUAAAGACGGGUGAGAAUCCCGUCCACCGUAAACCCAAGGUUUCCAGGGCAACGCGAAUCGUCCCUGGGUUAGUCGGUCCUAAGGCGAGGCCGAAAGGCGUAGUCGAUGGACAGCAGGUUAAUAUUCCUGCACUACUGUAUAGUUUCGAUGGAGUGACGCAUUCUUGCAUCUUCCGAGAUUCCCGGAAUGAAUCUCUGGGUACUCAGGGGUGACUGGCAGGCAAAUCCACCAGUCAUAAGCCUCGGGGUCAUCGCAAGCACCGCGCAAGCGGAGCAAGGGAAGAGAAUGGGGUGCCAAGAAAACCUUCUAGAGCUAACUGUAUGGUAACCGUACCGCAAACCGACACAGGUGGGUGGGCGUAAGUGUGCCAAGGUGUACGAGAGAAUCCGUGUGUAGGAACUCGGCAAAAUAGCGGCCGUAACUUCGGGAUAAGGCCUGCCGGUCAUUCGACCGGCCACAGCAAAAGACGCAAACCGACUGUUUACCAAAAACACAGCUCCCUGCUAAACCGCAAGGUGAUGUAUAGGGGGUGAUGCCUGGCCAGUGUCAGAACGUUAAGCGGAGAGGUUAAGGACUUCGGUCCUGAAGCUUUGAAGUCAAGCGCUGAUGAACGCCGGCGAUAACUAUAAUCGUCCUAAGGUAGCGAAAUUCCUUGUCGGGUGAGUUCCGACCCGCACGAAUGGCAUAACGAGUUUGCGACUGUCUUCACAUGGAACUCGGCGAAAUUGCAAGUGGGGUGAAGAUGCCCUGUACGCGUAGUCAGACGAAAAGACCCCGUGAAGCUUUACUAUAACUUGAUAUUGGGUCAUAGCGGUACAUGUUCAGCAUAGGUGGGAGCCUUCGGGCGCCAGUGAGAUACCACCCUUGUGCCGUUGUGACUCUUGAUCUUAAUCCGUGAAUCCGGAAUAGGAGACAGUAUCUGGUGGGUAGUUUAACUGGGGCGGUUGCCUCCCAAAAAGUAACGGAGGCGUUCACAAAGGUCGGCUAAGCGCGGAUGGAAAUCGCGUGCGUCCUGUAAUGGGAUAAGCCGGCUUAACUGCAAGACCAACAAGUCGCGCAGAUGCGAAAGCAGGACAUAGUGAUCCGACCGUACGAUAUCGGACGGCGGAAGCUCAACGGAUAAAAGCUACUCCGGGGAUAACAGGCUGAUCUCGCCUAAGCGUCCACAGCGACGGCGAGGUUUGGCACCUCGAUGUCGGCUCAUCGCAUCCUGGGGGUGGAGAAGCUCCCAAGGGUUUGGCUGUUCGCCAAUUAAAGCGGUACGCGAGCUGGGUUCAGAACGUCGUGAGACAGUUCGGUCUCCUGUCUACUAUGCGCGUGGAAUCUUGAGGGAUCGGAUCUCUAGUACGAGAGGACCGAGAUUCACGAACCUCUAGUGCACCGGUUGUCCUACCAAGGGCACCGCCGGGUAGCUACGUUCGGUUUGGAUAAACGCUGAAAGCAUAUAAGCGUGAAGCCGUUCCCAAGAUUAGGAUUCAGAGAGCCCUCCGAGACGAGGAGGUUGAUAGGCGGAAGGUGUAAGCCCGGCAACGGGUUCAGCCGAUCCGUACUAAUAGCUCGAUGCUUUGACCGU